UGCUUCUCUUGGAGCCUUCUCAGCAAGUUUAGGAUAAGGGUUAUGAAGUUCAAGGUGGAUGUGAAGAGACAAAAGUGCUGUGCCUCAGACACAAAAUUACAUCAAAAUGUGAUAAUUCUGGUGAGGCUGAAGAUUGAUUAAAUCAACUUUGGGGGUUGGACUCGAUGAUUUCUGGAAGCCCCUUCCAACCCCUGUGAUUCUGUAACUACAAACUACUCGGCUGCAAUUGUUGAAUGUGAUGCAGAGAUAGUGAUUUCUUGCAAUACUUGCACCUUUGCUUUCAGUGUAUUUCAAUGGGAAAAAAUCCUGAUUAAAAGCAGCAGGUAGAACAGUUUUGCUUUAUGACGCCAGAAAUCAGAGUCCUUCUGAAUCCUAUGUGGAGCAGAGGGCUCCUACAAUCUGCUGAAUAAAAUGGGAAGCUAUGCAUCAUUUAGAUUGUAAGUACAGAUUGUGGAAUAGCCCAGUUGUCUUAUGUGUCAAAUAUUAGAUAUGUUUGGACUUUUUGAGCACAUAGAAUUCAAGCAUUAAAUGAGGUAUUUAAA